rnacentral:rRNA from 1 species
UACGUAGGGUGCAAGCGUUGUCCGGAAUUAUUGGGCGUAAAGAGCUCGUAGGCGGUUUGUCGCGUCUGCUGUGAAAACUGGGGGCUCAACCCCCAGCCUGCAGUGGGUACGGGCAAACUAGAGUGCGGUAGGGGAGAUUGGAAUCCUGGUGUAGCGGUGGAAUGCGCAGAUAUCAGGAGGAACACCGAUGGCGAAGGCAGAUCUCUGGGCCGUAACUGACGCUGAGGAGCGAAAGCGUGGGGAGCGAACAGG